AAUGUUGAUAGGACUAAUAUUUUUGGAGAGACUACAUAUAUUAUCUAACAACACUGAUCAAUAGACAUUGAUAUUUAAAUUGUGGACUCACAGGCAAUUCCAGCAGGGGGCAAUAAAUCAUCUACAUUUUAAAACAAAG